rnacentral:rRNA from 1 species
UUUAAAAAAGGACGGCGUAAAGCUGUCGCUAAAGGAUGGACCUGCGAUGCAUUAGCUAGUUGGUAAGGUAACGGCUUACCAAGGCGAUGAUGCAUAGCCGAGUUGAGAGACUGAUCGGCCACAUUGGGACUGAGACACGGCCCAAACUCCUACGGGAGGCAGCAGUAGGGAAUCUUCCACAAUGGACGCAAGUCUGAUGGAGCAACGCCGCGUGAGUGAAGAAGGUUUUCGGAUCGUAAAGCUCUGUUGUUGGUGAAGAAGGAUAGAGGUAGUAACUGGCCUUUAUUUGACGGUAAUCAACCAGAAAGUCACGGGCUAACUACGUGCCAGCAGCCGCGGUAAAAU